rnacentral:rRNA from 1 species
ACCUCGGAUCAGACGUGAAUACCCGCUGAACUUAAGCAUAUCACUAAGCGGAGGAAAAGAAACUAACAAGGAUUCCCUUAGUAACGGCGAGUGAACAGGGAAAAGCCCAGCACCGAAGCCUAUGUCCAAUUGGGCAUUAGGCAAUGUGGUGUUUAGGUCGUUCCGCGGAGGCGCUGCUCCACUCCAAGUCCAGCACUGAGUACGGUAUUCUGGAAAUGGCCCACAGAGGGUGAAAGGCCCGUGGGGGUGGAGGUGCAGGUACGCCAGAGUCUCCCUGGAUAGACCUUGGAGUCGGGUUGUUUGUGAAUGCAGCCCAAAGUGGGUGGUAAACUCCAUCCAAGGCUAAAUACUUACACGAGUCCGAUAGUAAACAAGUACCGUGAGGGAAAGUUGAAAAGUACUUUGAAGAGAGAGUAAACAGUGCGUGAAACCGCUCAGAGGUAAACGGGUGGAGUUGAACUGCAAUCCCCGGGAAUUCAGCUGGUGAGUAUGGUUUGGGUAUGGCCAAGUCGGUCAAAGACUGGAGUCUGUGUAGUAGCAGGUCUUCACCUUUGGUGUUGAUGCGCGAUGCACUUAUCAAGUGUUGUGCGCUCCGGUAUUUUUGGGCCUACUCGCCGGUGCACUUUCUCGGGGUGUUCACCACGACCGGUAUGUUGCUUGAAUGUUACGGUUAAACCGUUUAUGCAUUGCUGUAUGGCUUUGUAUGAGCGGGACGGCAGGUAGCUUGUUGGCUUGACUGAGGCUUGCUUCAGGCAUUUGGCUUUCGAGUGUAAUAGCUGACUGUGACAGUGCUAUGCGGCGUAUCGGAGACGGCGGUCAAUGGUGUGUGCAUGCGUGCCUGUUCGGCUGGCAGUUCUGAUCUUGGCUGUUAUGUUGCCUGUAAAAGCAGGCCUAGCGGUAUUUCAGUGCUGUUUAGUUGGCGGUUGCGUAUGUGUCACUUCCCAGGGCCAACAGUCUGUGGUGUAGUGGUAGAUUAUCCACCUGACCCGUCUUGAAACACGGACCAAGGAGAGUAACAUGUGCGCGAGUCAUUGGGCGUAACGAAACCCACAGGCGCAGUGAAAGUAAAGGUCUGGCUUGUCCGGACUGAGGUGAGAUCUUGUCGUUUCUCACGCGUGGUACCUCCAUGCAUCGAGCGGCAGGCGCAUCACCGGCCCGUCCCAUGGCGUAGUCACAUAGUCUUCGGAUCAGUGCAACACCGGGGCGGAGCAUGAGCGCACAUGUUGAGACCCGAAAGAUGGUGAACUAUGCUUGCGCAGGUUGAAGCCAGAGGAAACUCUGGUGGAGGACCGCAGCGAUUCUGACGUGCAAAUCGAUCGUCAAACGUGAGUAUAGGGGCGAAAGACUAAUCGAACCAUCUAGUAGCUGGUUCCCUCCGAAGUUUCCCUCAGGAUAGC